CUGCCCUCCUGCUGCUGCGGCCCGCGGAGCCCGGGAGCACCGGGCCCCGGCCGCUCGUCGCGUGGCUCGGCUCCUUGCGGCUUCCUAGAAUUUCCUCGGGAGCGUCCCUUUCUUCCCUCUGCAGCCAAUCAGUGUUGCCCUUGACCACCGUCCUCACCUAUUUCUCCCUUCGCGGACGCUCCUCCUCGAGCCCCCCCGGCCCGCGCCGGCCUCACCCCGGGGGCGCCGCGUUGCCCGGCGCCGGCCGCUCCACCUGCCGCGGAGCCCGGGUUCUCCCGCGCGCGCCCCAGCGGCGACCGAGGCCUCCCCGGUCCGAAUCUAGCUGCCUUGCGGCGAAGCGGCUUCGCCCUGACUCGUGCUUUGGCCCACCCGACGGGUUGCUUUAAAGCCAUAAAGACUCCCCGGUCUUCAAGAAAACCUCGGAAAACCGUGAAUCUGGGAAGGUGUCCUCACCGUCGUGCUCGUUUGGCCAGUUUAAGGCCCGUGCGAGUUCCUUGAACUCUUGCAACCGCCGUCCUGCAGUCCACGCCCCGGGAGGAUUCUGGCCCGCGAUCCAUCGAUCUUAGGUCCGGCCUGUGAAAAACAGCAGGUGUCUUCGGUUACAUGUUAGAGGAAAGUGGGUGCAUGCUGAUUAAAAAGCGACUUGGUCAACUUAGUUUUUACUUAUUUCUAAAUGCCGUCAUUUGAACUUGACUUUUGAGAAUUUUAGUGUAAGGAGUGAAAAAUUAGAUCGUUUUCUCUCUGAGUUUCAAAACCUGAGUAAUUCCCCUUGGAGUGCUGCACCCACACAGUUUGGCAAAGUCGGAUCUGUUGAAAGAAGUCAUUUCUGGCUUCAUAGCUUAUAAAUUGUGCGUAAAUAUUUCACAAGCGAAAACCAAUUGUGGGAGAAUUUUUGUGUGUGGCUUAAUUUCCCUUUCCCCACUCUCCAGUAAUUGAUGGGGAAACCCGACUAAGUAGUUGAUACGUCCCCAUAGGUAGGAGAGAAAUGGGGGGAGUACCUGCUUAAGUAGCCUAGCUUCCAAGUGGUAGAUCUAUAGACGUUCACCAUCAAGUGGAGAAAGCUCGAAGGGGUUUAAGACUUGAGAAGGAUGGCAGGUGUGACACCGCAUUAAGGUGUUCCUUUUAUUUUUUUUUUCAUUUAAAGAUUUUAUUUAUUUAUUCACGAGAGACACAGAAAGAGAGAGGCAGAGGGAGAAGCAGGCCCCCUGUAGGGAGCCGGACGUGGGACUUGAUCCCGGGACCCCAGGAUCAUGCCCUGGGCUGAAGGCGGCACCAAACCGCUGAGCCACCUGGGCUGCCCUGUUAAGGUGUUCCUAAGUGGUUUGCCAGCACCUGCUCUACAAAUAGGUUUUAAAGAUUUAUUUUAGAGGGAAGGGCAGAGAGAGCAUCUCCAGCAAGCUCCACUCCCGAUGUGAAGAGCACGAUGCGGGGCUCUAUCUCCACCCUGAGAUCAGGACCUGAGCCAAAACCAAGAGUCAGUGACUAAACCAAUUGAGCCACCCUGACACCCCUCCACAAAUAGUUUUUACAGUUCCCCCAGAGCAGGGGCGUCUGGGUGGCUCAGUGGGUUAAGUGUCUCACUCUUGAUUUCAAGCUCAGGUGGUAAACUCAGGUUGUGAGAUCGAGCCCAAUGUCAGGCUCCUUGAGUGCAGAGCUUGCUUGAGAUUGUCUCUCUUGCUCUGCUUCCCCCCCCCCCCCCACACACACACUUGCAUUCUCCCUCUCUCCAGAAAAAACAAAAACAAACAAAAAAAACCCAAAAAACAAAAUUUGCCCCAGAACAGGUGACCUGUUAACAUAGGCCUUGAGUUUUCUGUGGUGGGAGAUGCUUUUGCCUUUAGCUCUGAGGGCUCUUGUGACUAGAUGCACAAAGAUAGUGUGUUACAUUGGCUCUAGCCUGCUUGCACUUGCUACUAAAAGUGACAAUCAAUUUAAAAGGACAGAUUAAAUUGCCAUUUCAGAGCCAUGGGACUUUAGGGAUAAUUUAACUGUCUUUACUCUUCUGUUUGGCCAGAAUGAAUUGAGCCAAUGAGUUCCUUCUGAAUGUCUAGAGUCUCUUUUUGCUUUGACAACCGGACAGGUGAUUAAUGUCAGUCUACAACUGAGUGCCUUGUACAUGGAAUGAUUGAUUGCUUUUUGGUUCAUCAAAAAGUGAAGUUCAAAGCACCAUGAGAGUAGUUGUGCGUGAUAAUGCUUGACUCAAACAUCUCAAAAGCUCUGACUUUGCAUGAGGCUUCCAGUCCUCCACAGAAUGUCGUCAACUGCAGAAAAAAAACUCAAAUAUUGGAUGAAGCCUAAAAGUCAUGCAGAAGUUUUAUUGGGGCUAGAGAAGUCAGAGCUUACUAAUGGCUGAGGAGAUGUGAUGACAAAUAUCCUUUUUUUUUUUUUUUUUUUUUUUAAGAUUUUAUCCAUUUAUUCAUGAGAGAGAGAGAAGCAGGCCCCAUGCAGGGAGCCCGGCGCGGGACCCGAUCCCCAGUCUCCAGACUCAGGCCCUGGGCUGGAGGCUGUGCUAAACCGCUAAGCCACCUGGGCUGCCCCUGAUGACAAAUAUCCUACAGGGAUUGUGCCCUUUGGCCACCUGAGCGGGACAAAGAUGCGGACUGUUAGCUACAACUCUUGAAGUCUCCUGCCUCCCUCAUUUCCCCAGUGGUUUCUUUCCAGAAACUCCAUUAAAUACUCAAACUGAGUUUUAAGAGGAUGUAGUUUCAGGACACGUGGAGAGGGCAAAGUUCAGGACUGAGAGGAAGAAUAAAGGGUGCGAGUUAAAAGAUGCUGGUAUUUACCAUUUUCAAACAGUCUUCUUUGUGGAUCAUAAGGAGGCUGGCUGUUAAAUCUAAUUCCGCCUUAUGUGUAUCUCUGACAGGUUAGGAAUGGUUCAGGUAGUGAACUCAGGACGCCAAGUAAUUUCCCUUACCACAGGGAUGCUGGGGUGGCUCAAUUGGUUGUGUGUCUGCCUUUGGCUGAGGUCAUGGGGGGUCCGGCUCCCUGCUCAGUGUGGAGUCUGCUUCUCCCUCUCCCUCUCCCUCUCCCAGCCACACUCCCCCUGUGUGUGUUCUCUCUGUCAAACGAAUAAAAUCUUCCAAAAAAAAUUCUCUUACCACAGACUAAUGUAGCUUCUUCAUGAAAUUGCCUUUGGUUAGUUUAAUGUGUCGUCCUUGGGAGGUUGCCUUGGUGGGCAGUUAGGCACAGGACAAAGAUUGUUAGAGCUGUGGGUAUUUUUGCAUUUUGCCUGCAGGGAAAGCAGCUGAGAGAGGACCUGCUCAAGGUCACAAGGUCACGUUGCCAGGGCUGCAGUGCCCCGGGGACAUAGCCGUGAACCAGAUGACACACUUGUCUUCAUCGAGCCUGCAGUCUGGAAAGGAUGGGUCAUGAACAGGUGGAUCACAGGUACUUGCCAUGAAUCUGGUUGUGUAAAGUCCUAGGAAGAAGAGGAGAGGCCGGGGACGCUGUCAGGUAAAAGCCUUCCUGGGUAAAGGGCAGCCCGGCCAGGACUCACAGGUUGAGGGAGCCAGAAAGAGCCUGACCCAGCACUUGGCUGCGUACUGGCCUUUUUUUUCUUUUAUGCUAAUUUCUAUUUGGAAAAGGAGUAGAUAGAGUAAAUCAGGUGAUGAAUGUGUAAAUAACGUGGCAAUCCCAUAACCCUUGUUUUUUGUCUUGGAAACUCCUCAAAUUCACGGAUUCACCCGCUGAAAGUGCUUCUGGCGUUGGCUACGGUUUUCUUGCCCCAUACUUGGUUCCUAACAUCAUGUCCUACUUUGUUUUGUUGUCUUUUAUGAGCCAUUCCCCGCUCAGAAUUCACACUUGAACUUGGGGAUUGAUAGCGGAAAUCAUUUUGGAGUUCCAGGCCUUGCAAGUUAAAGGAGCUAUAACACUGGUCAGUGGGAAAGGCAGAUUGGAGUCACCAAAGCUUGGGUUUGGGUCCCUGUUGUGCUGUUUAUCAUCCAUGUAACGUCAGCAAAGGCUCGCAACCUCUAAACCCUCCAUUUCCUGAGCUGUAAAAGAGGCCUAAUGAUGCCAGCCUUCGGAUGUUAUAGGGGAGUGCACAGUCAUGGUGAGCCAGCUCCUGCCGCUCACAUCUCAGUUUCCGGGCUCGUGCUCUGCAUCAGGCACUGCUGGCUUGAUGGCUAAUGCUUAUAGAAAUGCUUAUAGAGGGGACCCAGCACUCCUGUGGUUUCUUAAAGCAGAUGAAAAUUCACAUAUCAGCCAGCCUUUUUUUUUUUUCUUUGAGAGAGAGAUUUUCCCUAUCAAUGGUCACAUGCAAUUUUGAACUUGGCAUUUAAAGGAUGAUGGAGGUAGGCAGGAAGGACUAUCCUAUCUAAACCGUGCCAUCCUAUUACUCCCCGAGGAAUGGAUUGGGAGCGUCCUUGCGCCGUUUCUGCUCAAAUGGCAAGAAUGCAGUCAUGGGUGGCCUGUAUCUUUUCCUAGUGAUGUUUUCAACCUGAGCCUUCCAAAGGUGGUGUUCGCCCUGAGGUGGUGUGAGGCUGUUGCCAUUCUAGAUGCCACUCUCCACCAUCUUGCCUGCUCCCGUGUUCGUUGAAGAGCUGGCGCUUCAUCUACACUCUUCCUCUCGAACCUGGGCCACACCAGCCCUUAGCCGACUUGAGUCACCAGCACUCAGAUUGGAAAUCAAUCCGUGGUUAAUCAUCAGCAUCCUCAGCAUCGCAUUCUGCUUCUGUCUGACCAAACAUCAUCCUCGGAUUCAACCCACUUUUGUCUCUCUCCUUCUGGAACCCUGGGACUUUCUGGAGGAAAAACUACUCACGCAUCCUGAGCCUGUCUUUCCAGCCUUUAUUUGGUGUGUGUGGCCCCAGGCCCCGUGUCUCCAGCAGCCUGCCAGUCAUUCUGUCAGCCACCAAACAGAUGAAGGCUUUCUGAUCUCGCCUCCUUGCCUUCUCUUGCACCUGACCUGACGCCAGCUGCUGCUCUGUCCCCGGACUUCCCACCUAGGCUGUCCUCGGCUCUCUGCUUGGGCUCCAUCUUCUCGAGUGUGACUUCUUUUCCUUUUGCCACCCUCCUUGUUCCGCAUGGCCCCCCAGGUCAUUGGGUCCCCACAUGUGGCUCCAACAGCCCCCUGCGUGCUGACAGUUCUUCACUUCUGUGCCUAUUCUGGGUUCACCCCAGAGCUCUGUUGCACAUCGCCCUGUUCCAGACAGCCCUGCUCCAUGGCCCAUGGCACCCUAGCCACCCUGCCAGCCUACCUGUGUCUCCAUCUGCGCCAGCCCGGUUCCUCCAGCAGUUUCCUCUCCUUAACACCCAUUGCUCAAGACCAAAUUUGGGAAUCCGUCUUAGACUCCUCUCUCCCCCUCAUCCCCUCCUAAAUAUUUUUCAAAACCAACUUUUCUGCAUUCCCGCUCCUCUCAUCCUUGUGUAGGCUCUGGCUCUCUGUCACCUACGCAUUUGCCAACCAGCUGCUCUACCCGCCGCCACCAGCCCCUCCUUCCUCGGGGGUCUCCUGAAUUUCUCUCCCGCGCUGAUGGGACUACGUCACUUCCCUUUUCAAACUUCUCAGGGGCUCUGGGAGCCUUAAGACUACCAGCCCCUUGGCAUGGUGCUCCUACCUGGUGGCCUCUUCUUCCAGCCUUUGAGCCCCCUGCAGACAUGCACACUGUGCUAGCUCAUACCUUGUUUCCAGACAAUUCGUUUUCCUAGGCUUAAAACAUCCUUUCCUACCUCCUCCAAUUUUGUCUCCCAAAGCUGCUCAGGCGACCACUCUGGGAAGCUUUCGCUGGAAGGGUAUUUCCAUAGUUACCUUUGUUCUCCCAUUAUAGUGGAAGUGACCGUUACUAGUUCUGCUUUCCCACAAAAUCGUUCAAUGUUUGAGGGCAGGGAUGGUGUCUGCCUGGCCUCUUGUUCCUGGAGGGAAUUGGGGCCAGCCCAGUGCAGGACACGUGGCAGGUCUAUCUGAGUGGGAGUCCCUGCUGAUGCUGCUCCCUUGUCUUUCUCCACCCUUCUGCAUGUAGAAUGAAGUCCAGCUGGGUUUUGACAGGCAUAGCAAAAAAAAAAGGAGAGACAGACCUGGAUUAAAUAUUUGUUUCACCAUUUAUUAACUAAGUGACCUUAGUUACAUGAGUUUUUUACCCCUGGGGUCAGUUUAUCUGUAAAUUAGAAACACUAACGUUCAACGUUGUUGCAAAGUUAGAUUGAAAUCACGUGCAUGGGGGCGCCUGGGUGGCUCCGUCGGUGAAGCAUCUGCCUUGGGCUCAGGUCAUGAUCCUGAGGUCCUGGGAUUGAGCGCUGUUUCCGGCUGAGCAGGGAGCCUGUUUCUCCUCCUCCCUCUGACCCUCCCCCUGGGCUCAUGCUCACUUUCUCAAAUAAAUAAAUAAAUAAAAUAUAAAAAAAAGAAAUCAUACCCACAGUGCUCCUGGCUGUAGGAGGUGGUAAUAUGCUUCCUCCUUGUUACUAUUUCUCUGCUUCCUCCUGCCUCCACCCUUCCCUCCCCAAACAUCCAGCUUCACAAGUUUCAUCCCUAGUUUCCCUGCUUUUGGUAGUUCUCCCUGCAUAAGGAAUGCCUUCCUCAGAUCCACCAGCCUCUUCACGCGUCUCCACCCAUUUGGCCUCCAGGCAUGCCCAGGUAAUUCAGUUAGAAAUAACCCCUGUAGCAUAGGGUGUUCCCUGCAGACUAUCCAGUUAGCAGUCUUUUAAUUAUCUGUAGACAGUUCCUGGGUCGAAGGCCUUCCAGAAAAGGCAGAGAUGUUUCUCCUUCAAUUUUGUAGCUCUCCUGUGCUUCUGACAACCCAGGGUCUGGUACAUCCUAAGUGUUGAGUGAAGGGCUGUUGACUGUGACUGGUGUUGGAAGGAAGAGGAAUGCUUCUUUGUGGGGUUAAAAUGUUGUCAGCGUCUUAAAGGAAUCAAACCCUCUGGGAACUUGGAAUUUUAGCUUAUUUGCCCAUAAGAUUUUUUGCAUGAUGUGAAUGUCCACUUGCACGCAAAUAAGUGUCUGGAAAUUAAACGUAAUUCUAGAAAAUUCAUUUCAAGCACAAUGAAAAAUCGUUAGUCUGGAAAUUAGUUUAUAAUAUGGAGGAAGUAAAGAUUCUUCUUUGCUCCGA